rnacentral:rRNA from 1 species
AUACGGAGGAUGCAAGCGUUAUCCGGAUUUAUUGGGUUUAAAGGGUGCGUAGGCGGAUGAUUAAGCGUGAGGUGAAAUGCCACUGCUCAACAGUGGAACUGCCUCGCGAACUGGUUGUCUUGAAUGCUCCUGCCGUGGGAGGAAUGUGUGGUGUAGCGGUGAAAUGCAUAGAGAUCACACAGAACACCGAUUGCGAAGGCAUCUCACGAAGGGGUGAUUGACGCUGAGGCACGAAAGCGUGGGGAUCAAACAGGAUUAGAUACCCUGGUAGUCCACGCAGUAAACGAUGAUAACUAACCGCUGGGUCGUAGUGAUUCAGUGGCCAAGCGAAAGCGAUAAGUCAUCCACCUGGGGAGUACGUUCGCAAGAAUGAAACUCAAAUGAAUUGGCGGGG